GUUUGCACUCAUCGGGGAAGGGUGAGAACCUUCGACUAAGGUUCGAUUCGAGCGAAAGCGAGAGAACGUUGCCACAGGCAACGGCCCGAA
rnacentral:sRNA from 1 species